rnacentral:tRNA from 1 species
UUCCAGGUAGCUCAGACUGUAUAGAAUCUGCCUGCAAUGCAGGAGACUCAGGUUCGAUCCCUGGGUUGGGAA